AAAAACUAGAUUAAAACAGUCCAGGCAUGCAAGAGGAAGACUGUGGAAGUUUCCAAGGCCAGUGGACCCACUGAGAAUCCCAGAACAACCUAUUUCCAUAAAUUGAGGCCAAGUAUGAUAAGAAGAUGAAGAUGCUGAGGGACGAGCUCGACCUGCGGAGAAAGACUGAGCUCCAUGAAGUGGAGGAGAGGAAGAAUGGCCAGAUCAACACGCUGAUGCAGCGCCACGAGGAGGCCUUCACUGACAUUAAGAACUACUACAAUGACAUCACCCUCAACAACCUGGCCCUCAUCAACUCCCUCAAGGUGCUGCGUGUGGGGUGGGCUGGGGAGACACACUCUGCCUGUCCUAGAAUGUGGGCUGCAGACUCCUGGGGAUCCAGACCCCAGCUUUCCACCCCAACACACCCAAUACUUUUUAUAAGAUUAUUUGACAAUGCCCCUUUCAUAUCCUUAACUGAAAUUCCUAAAUAAUGUAACCUAUCU
rnacentral:sRNA from 1 species